GUACGGCGAGUGAAGCGGUAAAAGCUCAAAUUUGAAAUCUGGUACUUUCAGUGCCCGAGUUGUAAUUUGUAGAAUUUGUCUUUGAUUAGGUCCUUGUCUAUGUUCCUUGGAACAGGACGUCAUAGAGGGUGAGAAUCCCGUUUGGCGAGGAUACCUUUUCUCUGUAAGACUUUUUCGAAGAGUCGAGUUGUUUGGGAAUGCAGCUCAAAGUGGGUGGUAAAUUCCAUCUAAAGCUAAAUAUUGGCGAGAGACCGAUAGCGAACAAGUACAGUGAUGGAAAGAUGAAAAGAACUUUGAAAAGAGAGUGAAAAAGUACGUGAAAUUGUUGAAAGGGAAGGGCAUUUGAUCAGACAUGGUGUUUUUUGCAUGCACUCGCCUCUCGUGGGCUUGGGCCUCUCAAAAAUUUCACUGGGCCAACAUCAAUUCUGGCAGCAGGAUAAAUCAUUAAGAAUGUAGCUACUUCGGUAGUGUUAUAGCUUUUUGGAAUACUGUUAGCCGGGAUUGAGGACUGCGCUUCGGCAAGGAUGUUGGCAUAAUGGUUAAAUGCCGCCCGUC
rnacentral:rRNA from 1 species